AAAUCAAAGCAAGGUUCUUGAUGCAGUCAUAGAUGUUGUAAUUCUUCCAGAAUUGCAUCCGCGUCUUCAGUUACAGCAAUAGCGUGGGCAAAGGUCCUCCUCAGGUAGAAAGCCUUAAAAGCUGCUAUACUUUCUCAAUCCUUUGACUGUAUCAAAGAGGUGGUGUUUGUAGGGAGAAACACUACUUUGAUAUUGGAAUAAAGAUCACCAAUAAGAGGAGCAUGUGCAAGAGCAUUAUCAGCAGUAAGUAAAAUUUUGAAAGUUAUGUUAUUUUUCAGACAGUACUUCUCCAUUUUGCUGGCAUAGCAAUUCAAGAUGGCAUCUUAGAAGAGGAACUGGGUCAGCUGUGACUUCUUACUCCCCCUGUAGUGCACCGGCAGUGUGUGCUUUUUAAUAUGGUUGAAGGCCCUGGAGCUCUCAGUGUGACAGAUCACAAAGGGUUUCAAUUUGUAGCCUGCAACACUGCCCCCAAACAAGAUUAUGAUCCUGUCCUUAAAAGACUUGAACCUGGCAUUGACUUGGCUUCCUUAUGAAUGAAAGUCUUUUCAGGCAUUUGUGUGCAGAAUAGGGAGAUUUCAUCCAUAUCAAAGAUUUGCUCUGGCAAGUAAUUUUCUUCUGCAAUCAGCUUAUCCAGAGUUCCAAAAAUUCUUCAGCUCCCUUCAUAUCAGCACUCAUAGACUCACCACUCACUUUCACAUUGUGUAAUGAAUAAUAAUUCUUGAGUCAUUUAAACUCCUGAGCUAGCAGCAAAUUCAAUGUCAUAGUCGGGUCCAGUCUUUUUCUUCAAUAUCACGAAUAAACUUUUUGCUUUGGUUAUGAUUAUCAUGGUGCUGAGAGGAGUAUGCUUCUGUAUCUGAUCUUCAAUCUAAGACAUUAGAAGUUUCUCCAUAUCUGAUAUAGGGUCAUCUCAAAUUUUGUUAGUCUCACUGGCUUUGAUGAAGCAGAUCCUUUAACAGUCUUUAACGCUCUUUGUCCUUGUUCUUCAAAAUGUUAGCUACGGUGGAAUAGGACAUGCCUGAUUGGUGAGCAAUAAUCAUCACUGAUUUUCCACCUUCAUAGUGCUUAAUCACUUUUAAUUUUGUUUCCAGGUUAAUCAUUUGAUGUGGCCUCUUAAUGGCAACAUUAUUCAUGAUUUUUGUAUACUUAGGAGUCAUAAUGAACAAAACAACACAAGAUUAAAUCAAGCACAACAGAAAAUGGUACAAGCAAAAGAUGAGUAUUGAAGAGUGUAAGGAGCACAUGCAGAAGAGCACUGUGGGCUCCCUCCACACUCAAGUUACUAGGCGAUGGGGGAGAAAACCUGUCAUCAGAGAAUGGCCAGGAAGAGUAGCCCUCCCUGUCCCAUGUGGUUUCUGCCAUUAUGUGUGUGUGUUUUAAAAUCUCUGUGAAGUUCACUUAUAUCAUCGCACUCAUUGUUAAUGCUGCUGUAAAAAUUUAAAAAGUGGCUUAA
rnacentral:lncRNA from 10 species